rnacentral:rRNA from 1 species
GCUCAAAUUUGAAAUCUGGCCUUCGGGUCCGAGUUGUAAUUUGUAGAGGAUGCUUUUGGUGCGGUACCUUCCGAGUUCCCUGGAACGGGACGCCAUAGAGGGUGAGAGCCCCGUACGGUUGGAUACCUAGCCUCUGUAAAGCUCCUUCGACGAGUCGAGUAGUUUGGGAAUGCUGCUCUAAAUGGGAGGUAAAUUUCUUCUAAAGCUAAAUACCGGCCAGAGACCGAUAGCGCACAAGUAGAGUGAUCGAAAGAUGAAAAGCACUUUGAAAAGAGGGUUAAAUAGCACGUGAAAUUGUUGAAAGGGAAGCGCUUAUGACCAGACUUUUGUCCGGCGGAUCAUCCGGUGUUCUCACCGGUGCACUUCGCCGGGCUGAGGCCAGCAUCGAUUUCUGUAGGGGGAUAAAGACUUCAGGAAAGUAGCUCCCUUCGGGGAGUGUUAUAGCCAGUUGUGUAAUACCCCUAUAGGGAUCGAGGUUCGCGCAUCUGCAAGGAUGCUGGCAUAAUGGUCAUCAGCGACCCGUCUUGAAACACGGACCAAGGAGUCGAACAUUUAUGCGAGUGUUUGGGUGUUAAACCCUCACGCGUAAUGAAAGUGAACGGAGGUGAGAGCCCUUACGGGUGCAUCAUCGACCGAUCCUGAUGUCUUCGGAUGGAUUUGAGUAAGAGCAUAACUGUUCGGACCCGAAAGAUGGUGAACUAUGCGUGGAUAGGGUGAAGCCAGAGGAAACUCUGGUGGAGGCUCGCAGCGGUUCUGACGUGCAAAUCGAUCGUCAAAUCUGCGCA